GAUGAACGCUGGCGGCGUGCCUAAUACAUGCAAGUCGAGCGAACAGACGAAGAGCUUGCUCCUUUGACGUUAGCGGCGGACGGGUGAGUAACACGUGGAUAACCUACCUAUAAGACUGGGAUAACUUCGGGAAACCGGAGCUAAUACCGGAUAACAUGUUGAACCGCAUGGUUCAACAGUGAAAGACGGUCUUGCUGUCACUUAUAGAUGGAUCCGCGCCGCAUUAGCUAGUUGGUAGGGUAACGGCUUACCAAGGCAACGAUGCGUAGCCGACCUGAGAGGGUGAUCGGCCACACUGGAACUGAGACACGGUCCAGACUCCUACGGGAGGCAGCAGUAGGGAAUCUUCCGCAAUGGGCGAAAGCCUGACGGAGCAACGCCGCGUGAGUGAAGAAGGUCUUCGGAUCGUAAAACUCUGUUAUUAGGGAAGAACAAAUGUGUAAGUAACUAUGCACGUCUUGACGGUACCUAAUCAGAAAGCCACGGCUAACUACGUG
rnacentral:rRNA from 1 species